UACGUAGGGGGCUAGCGUUGUCCGGAAUCAUUGGGCGUAAAGAGCGUGUAGGCGGUCCGGUAAGUCCGCUGUGAAAGUCGGGGGCUCAACCCUCGAAUGCCGGUGGAUACUGUCGGGCUAGAGUGCGGAAGAGGCGAGUGGAAUUCCUGGUGUAGCGGUGAAAUGCGCAGAUAUCAGGAGGAACACCGGUGGCGAAGGCGGGUCUCUGGGCAGUAACUGACGCUGGAGGAGCGAAAGCGUGGGGAGCGAACAGG
rnacentral:rRNA from 1 species